rnacentral:rRNA from 1 species
UACGGGAGGCAGCAGUGGGGAAUAUUGCACAAUGGGCGCAAGCCUGAUGCAGCCGUGCCGCGUGUAUGAAGAAGGCCUUCGGGUUGUAAAGUACUUUCAGUCGUGAGGAAGGUGUUAAGGUUAAUAACCUUAGCAAUUGACGUUAGCGACAGAAGAAGCACCGGCUAACUCCGUGCCAGCAGCCGCGGUAAUACGAAGGGUGCGAGCGUUAAUCGGAAUUACUGGGCGUAAAGGGCACGCAGGCGGUUAAUUAAGUUGGAUGUGAAAUCCCCGGGCUUAACCUGGGAAUGGCAUUCAAGACUGGUUAGCUAGAGUCUUGUAGAGGGGGUAGAAUUCCAUGUGUAGCGGUGAAAUGCGUAGAGAUGUGGAGGAAUACCGGUGGCGAAGGCGGCCCCUGGACAAAGACUGACGCUCAUGUGCGAAAGCGUGGGGAGCAAAC